rnacentral:lncRNA from 1 species
UAGAUCGAGCUCGCUAAAGUAACUAAUAACGAAACAAGGACAGCCUAACACCCAGGAAAGAAAAAUGAAUGUGUUAACAGAAAGCAAAACCGUGGGUGGAGAUUGAAGAGAAAAUGCUAAGAGGCGAGAGAAUUUACUCUCUCCAUGGUUUAAAGCUGAAUCUAGUUUGCCACCGUAAACCUACACCCACUUCACACACCCGCUAUACACCACUCCCCCAAAGCUAAAACCACCGUCCUGCAUUAAGUUCCACCUACAGGAACUUAGGGCUGGGUGGAGUUGUCUUUGAAAAUUAGGCAAUAAGUAGAAAUAGCCAAACUGAGGUCAACUCUACAGCUGGAGGUUGGCCUAGCCUCCCCCACCCCCUUUGUCAUACUCUUUAGCUGCUUGUCCUAAAAUGAGGUUUGCUUUAGGGGUUGACUUUGGAAACUUUGUCUUAGGGGUAGGGGAUAAGGAGAUUAGUGGAAUAUUAAAACCUGCUUUCACAAACAAAACAGAGCUUGUGUUGGCUCACAGACACCUCACCCAUAUCAUAACCCCAAGCUCCUGUUUUCUUUUUUCGCCUUCAUCAUAGCAAAGCUUUCCCAUUGCAGCUCUCAAACUCUGUUCAGUUUUUCACUAUUCCACAAAAAUCAUUACUUCAGAAGUGAGGGAUACUUUUAAAAUAUGCUAAUUAUAGAAUCCAUAAUAGCUAUUCCAAGCCCAGCCUGACUCAAAGUAACGUAGACUAGAAUUCAGUUUUCAGUAUUUAUUUCUCUUCAAAGUCAAGCAGACGCCCCUCCUCCCACUGCCAAAAGUUAGUCUAUAAACUGCUUUCCAUUCUGAAUUUGCAGUUAUGUGAGGUAUUUGCAUUUCUACGUUGGCUGUCACCCUAGUAUGCAGGUGCUGUAGGGUUGCCAGCUCUCCUGGUUUCGCUGGGAGUCUCCCAGAAUUGGGCUCUAUCUCCCAGAGGCUGCUGAAGCCAAACUGGGAGAUUUUAGACUGCUAAAAGUCUGGCUGCACAACGGGGCUAAGGAGGCUCCCUGCCACUUCUGGAAGCAACUGGCAUAUCCCUGUGGCCCCU